rnacentral:rRNA from 1 species
GGUGGUGCAUGGCUGUCGUCAGCUCGUGUCGUGAGAUGUUGGGUUAAGUCCCGCAACGAGCGCAACCCUUGUCCUGUGUUGCCAGCAUGCCCUUCGGGGUGAUGGGGACUCACAGGAGACCGCCGGGGUCAACUCGGAGGAAGGUGGGGACGACGUCAAGUCAUCAUGCCCCUUAUGUCUUGGGCUGCACACGUGCUACAAUGGCCGGUACAAUGAGCUGCGAUACCGUGAGGUGGAGCGAAUCUCAAAAAGCCGGUCUCAGUUCGGAUUGGGGUCUGCAACUCGACCCCAUGAAGUCGGAGUUGCUAGUAAUCGCAGAUCAGCAUUGCUGCGGUGAAUACGUUCCCGGGCCUUGU